GAUGAACGCUGGCGGCGUGCUUAACACAUGCAAGUCGAACGGAAAGUCCCCUGCUUGCGGGGGUCCUCUAGUUGCGAACUGGGGAGUAACACUUGGGUUCUCUGUCCUUCACUUCGGGAUAAGCCUAGGACACUGGGUCUAAUCCCGGAUAGGACCACUUGUCGUAUGGUGUGGUGGCAAGUUUUUCGGUGUGGGAUGAGCUCGCGGCCUAUCAGCUUGUUGGUGGGUUAAUGGCCUACCAAGGUGUCGACGGGUAGCCGGUCUGAGAGGGGGCACGGCCACAAGGGAAAUGAGAACCGGCACACAGUCCAACGGGAGGCAGGAGUGAGGAGUAUUGAAUAAUGGGCGCAAGGCUGAUGCAGGGACGAGGCAUGGGGGGUGAGGGCUGAAGGCUUGUGGACUCCUAACGCUAGGUACGAGGCGUGUUUGUGACGGUACCGGGAGAAGAAGCUCCGGCUAACUACGUG
rnacentral:rRNA from 1 species